AUUGAACGCUGGCGGCAGGCCUAACACAUGCAAGUCGAGCGGAUGAAGGGAGCUUGCUCCUGGAUUCAGCGGCGGACGGGUGAGUAAUGCCUAGGAAUCUGCCUGGUAGUGAGGGAUAACGUCCGGAAACGGGCGCUAAUACCGCAUACGUCCUGAGGGAGAAAGUGGGGGAUCUUCGGACCUCACGCUAUCAGAUGAGCCUAGGUCGGAUUAGCUAGUUGGUGGGGUAAAGGCCUACCAAGGCGACGAUCCGUAACUGGUCUGAGAGGAUGAUCAGUCACACUGGAACUGAGACACGGUCCAGACUCCUACGGGAGGCAGCAGUGGGGAAUAUUGGACAAUAGGCGAAAGCCUGAUCCAGCCAUGCCGCGUGUGUGAAGAAGGUCUUCGGAUUGUAAAGCACUUUAAGUUGGGAGGAAGGGCAGUAAGUUAAUACCUUGCUGUUUUGACGUUACCAACAGAAUAAGCACCGGCUAACUUCGUG
rnacentral:rRNA from 1 species